UACAGAGGGGGCAAGCGUUGUUCGGAAUUACUGGGCGUAAAGGGCUCGUAGGUGGCCAACUAAGUCAAACGUGAAAUCCCUCGGCUUAACCGGGGAACUGCGUCUGAUACUGGAUGGCUUGAGUCUGGGAGAGGGAUGCGGAAUUCCAGGUGUAGCGGUGAAAUGCGUAGAUAUCUGGAGGAACACCGGUGGCGAAGGCGGCAUCCUGGACCAACACUGACACUGAGGAGCGAAAGCCAGGGGAGCAAACGGG
rnacentral:rRNA from 1 species